AGUAUUCUGUGCUUUGGGCAUUUUAUAGAAAGUUUGUGGACAAAUUUAGGUCAGUGGAGGUUACAAAACACGGAACGGCAAGCAGACGACUCACAGAUAGGCGGAAAGAACAUUUCAGAGCGGUCUAGGUAGAAGAAAGGUUGUUUGCAGGAGGAACAAUAACUAAAAUUUUUGAUCAACUUUAUUUACGGUUGAUUUACAAAAAAAACGGUUUUGUUUUUCUUUGAUCCGAACA